rnacentral:rRNA from 1 species
UACGUAGGGUGCAAGCGUUAAUCGGAAUUACUGGGCGUAAAGCGUGCGCAGGCGGCUUUGCAAGACAGAUGUGAAAUCCCCGGGCUUAACCUGGGAACUGCAUUUGUGACUGCAUGGCUGGAGUGCGGCAGAGGGGGAUGGAAUUCCACGUGUAGCAGUGAAAUGCGUAGAUAUGUGGAGGAACACCGAUGGCGAAGGCAGCCCCCUGGGAUGUGACUGACGCUCAUGUACGAAAGCGUGGGGAGCAAACAGG